AGAGUUUGAUCCUGGCUCAGGAUGAACGCUGGCGGCGUGCCUAACACAUGCAAGUCGAACGGAAUUUACAUGAAGCCUAGCGAUUGUAAAUUUAGUGGCGGACGGGUGAGUAACGCGUGGGUAACCUGCCUUGUACUGGGGGACAACAGUUGGAAACGACUGCUAAUACCGCAUAAGCGCACAGCUUCGCAUGAAGCAGUGUGAAAAACUCCGGUGGUACAAGAUGGACCCGCGUCUGAUUAGCUGGUUGGUGAGGUAACGGCCCACCAAGGCGACGAUCAGUAGCCGGCCUGAGAGGGUGAACGGCCACAUUGGGACUGAGACACGGCCCAAACUCCUACGGGAGGCAGCAGUGGGGAAUAUUGCACAAUGGGGGAAACCCUGAUGCAGCAACGCCGCGUGAGUGAAGAAGUAUUUCGGUAUGUAAAGCUCUAUCAGCAGGAAAGAAAAUGACGGUACCUGACUAAGAAGCCCCGGCUAACUACGUGCCAGCAGCCGCGGUAAUACGUAGGGGGCAAGCGUUAUCCGGAUUUACUGGGUGUAAAGGGAGCGUAGACGGUUUUGCAAGUCUGAAGUGAAAGCCCGGGGCUUAACCCCGGGACUGCUUUGGAAACUGUAGGACUAGAGUGCAGGAGAGGUAAGUGGAAUUCCUAGUGUAGCGGUGAAAUGCGUAGAUAUUAGGAGGAACACCAGUGGCGAAGGCGGCUUACUGGACUGUAACUGACGUUGAGGCUCGAAAGCGUGGGGAGCAAACAGGAUUAGAUACCCUGGUAGUCCACGCCGUAAACGAUGA
rnacentral:rRNA from 1 species